rnacentral:rRNA from 1 species
CAGUAGCCGCGGGAAUACGGAGGGAGCUAGCGUUGUUCGGAAUUACUGGGCGUAAAGCGCACGUAGGCGGCUACUCAAGUCGGGGGUGAAAGCCCGGGGCUCAACCCCGGAACUGCCCUCGAAACUAGGUAGCUAGAAUCUUGGAGAGGUCAGUGGAAUUCCGAGUGUAGAGGUGAAAUUCGUAGAUAUUCGGAAGAACACCAGUGGCGAAGGCGACUGACUGGACAAGUAUUGACGCUGAGGUGCGAAAGCGUGGGGAGCAAACAGGAUUAGAUACCCCCGUAGUCCCUGUCUCUUAUAC